GCCACCUGCCGGUCGAGUGGGAAAGGUAAACUGCUCCGAGACAAGUCGUUUGUAAACACGCAAGACGCGAGAGACGAGUUUUUCGAGAAGGUUGAAAAGGAAGUUUUGUGACUGUAAAGGAUUAAAAAUAAGGUUGAGAGCAGCGUCAUGCCUUACAAAACUUUCCACGCGAUGGCCUUGUCCAGUGUGACGCAGUUCACAUCAAAACACCCUGGUAUCAGGAGGUGCAGCACAGCGACAAGGUGUUGUUCAGCUCUAAGGUGAGGCCAUGGCUUGAGGAGGCCAAAAUGUCCACACGUAUCGAGGCAGACACGGAGCUCGUCUUUCACGCGAAGAUUGCUGGCGAGGAGCAAUCAUUCCAUUGCGGAUUCAGCGGCAAAUUUUUUGCUCGCCACGCCCGCCGAGUCCUCAUCCCUGACGAAGUCAUGACUCGAAUGGGGAUCGAGACUGGACAAAAACUACGUCUGAAAAGCAGGCGCCUCCCAGAGGCCCGUUUUUUAGACUUCCAGGACCCUUUUGGCACUCGAGGUUGAGAGCAGCGUCAUGCCGUACAAAACUUUCCACGCGAUGCCCUUGUCAAGUGUGACGCAGUUCACAUCAAAACCCUGGUAUCAGGACGCGCAGCACAGCGACAAGGUGAUGUUCAGCUCGAAGGUGAGGCCAUGGCUCGAGGAGGCGAAACUGUCCACACAUAUCGAGGCAGACACGGACCUCGUCUUUCACGCAAAGAUUGCUGGCGAGGAGCAAUCAUUCCAUUGCGGAUUCAGCGGCAAAUUUUUUGCACGCCACGCCCGCCGAGUUCUCAUCCCUGACGAAGUAAUGACUCGAAUGGGGAUCGAGACCGGACAAAAACUACGUCUGAAAGGCAGGCGCCUUUAGACUUCCAGUGCGCCUUCACGAUGACAGACAAUAUCUUCACUGCACUGGAGAACAAGCUCAAGACACUGACAGUGGUCGAGGUUGGGCAGGAAGUGUCCUUCAAUUCUGAUGGAGAGCUCGUCCGUGUCACUCUCAUCGAAGCCGAGCCCAAGAGCCAAGUUUACCUCAAGAAAAAUGCUCAAGGAGAACUCACUGCCUCAAUCCUCUACACCGAGACCGUGGCUGCCGAGUGAACCAAUAUAAUUGUUCCCAGGUGUUUUUAGUUUAUAAAAUUGUAUAGCCAUGUACUCAUUAAGUACUCAUUAAAAGUAUAGAAAAUAAUAAUUUAUUUCUUUUUAAUUAGACUUAAGUACAAACAUGCAAAUGAUUUAAUUUUCAGUAAAAACUGGAAAGAAUUAUAGGUAGAAUAUUUUUU